rnacentral:rRNA from 1 species
UACAGAGGUGGCAAGCGUUGUUCGGAAUUACUGGGCGUAAAGGGCGCGUAGGCGGUCUUGUAAGUCUUGUGUGAAAUCCCUCGGCUCAACUGAGGAACUGCACGGGAUACUGCGAGACUUGAGUUCGGGAGAGGGGAGCGGAAUUCCGGGUGUAGGCGGUGAAAUGCGUAGAUAUCAAGAGGAACACCUGGAGGUGAAGACGGGUUGCUGGGCUGACACUGACGCUGAGGCGCGAAAGCUAGGGUAGCAAACGGG